CAACUCCUAGCGGUGGAUCACUCGGCUCAUGCAUCGAUGAAGAACGCAGCAAGCU
rnacentral:rRNA from 1 species